UACGGGGGGGGCAAGCGUUGUUCGGAAUUACUGGGCGUAAAGGGCUCGUAGGCGGCCAACUAAGUCGGACGUGAAAUCCCUCGGCUUAACCGGGGAGCUGCGUCCGAUACUGGAUGGCUUGAGGUUGGGAGAGGGAUGCGGAAUUCCAGGUGUAGCGGUGAAAUGCGUAGAUAUCUGGAGGAACACCGGUGGCGAAGGCGGCAUCCUGGACCAAUUCUGACGCUGAGUGAGCGAAAGCCAGGGGAGCAAACGGG
rnacentral:rRNA from 1 species